rnacentral:tRNA from 1 species
GGAAGGGUCGGAUAAUGGUAUUCCACCACACUCGAAAUGUGGCGCCCGCAAGGGCUUGUGGGUUCGACUCCCAUCCCUUCCG